GGGGUGUGCGCAGAGCAGGGGGUCUGAAGAAUGGCCCCUCUGUCUACAACACACCCAACAGAAAUCUCGAGUUAGUCCUACAGGUGGCAAUACUUUGGCCUUCCUGUGACAUAGUACUCGACACAU